GAUGAACGCUGGCGGCGUGCCUAAUACAUGCAAGUCGAACGAACAGACGAGGAGCUUUCUCCUCUGACGGUAGCGGCGGACGGGUGAGUGACACGUGGGUGACCUACCUAUAAGUCUGGGGUAACGUCGUGGAAGCGGGGCUAAGACCGGGGAAGAUAUUGAACCGCAUGGGUCCAUAGUUAAAGGCGGUUUUGCUGUAACUUAUAGAUGGAUCCGCUCGGCAUUAGCUAGUUGGUAAGGUAACGGCUUACCAAGGCGACGAUGCGUAGCCGCCCUGAGAGGGUGAUCGGCCACACUGGAACUGAGACACGGCCCAGACUCCUACGGGAGGCAGCAGUAGGGAAUAUUCCGCAAUGGGCGAAAGCCUGACGGAGCAACGCCGCGUGAGUGAUGAAGGUCUUCGGAUCGUAAAACUCUGUUAGUAGGGAAGAACAAAUGUGUAAGUAACUAUGCACGUCUUGACGGUACCUAAACAGAAAGCCACGGCUAACUACGUG
rnacentral:rRNA from 1 species